UUAAUUUUUUAGAAAUUUAAAAACUAAAAUUAGCAGAAUAUAUUUUUUGUUGAUUUUCGCAUAUAUUUUUGAAAGCAUGUCUUCAGCAGAAAAUGAAGAAAUUGAUCCCGAAACGAGAUUCGCAGACACGCCCUUCGGUGCAUACUAUAACAACGUCAUUAAAAAUGUUGAACGUCCUAUGCUCUUAAAUUGUGUAACUCCUUCAACGCUUCCCGGAAUGUUUAAUGUAUACAUUUACAGAAAGGAUGAACAGAGCAUAACUUUGUUGGGCGAUUAUAUAGCUAAUCUCAAUGAAUAUCGGCUUUUCACCUACACUGCAACAUUUUAUGAGGUGCACAAAAUGGUGUUGAGACAGUAUGAAACAAAGCAACGGGUUGAAGAAUUGUUCAUGCUGUCUUAUAAUCAACAGGAACACUAGGAGAAAAUAUAAAUAUAUCAAUUAUAAAUUUGUUGAAGUAGGCAGCCAGAAGUGGAACGGUUUAUGGAUCGAGAAAUAAAUUUUGUAAAUAAUUUAUUCUAAUUUGAUGUAGACAGAAAGUAGGAGGUUUCUGUUAAAAUAACACAAAAAUUUAAUUGGUUUUCCUCCAAGUCCAAUUACUUAUUUACGUAUCUCUAAGAAAUAGUUACUUUUGCUAGAUAUUAAGAAGAUUUCUAGCAUCAUAAUUUUUUCAUCACUCUAGCUCUAAGGCUCUGGGACACUAUUAUUGAAAUUCUCUUUGCAUAAAGGAACGAUACGAAAGCCAUUCGA